UUCUCAAUCCCCAAAUUCUCAAAUUCUAUCUCUCUCACAUCACACUCCUUUGAAACACAACUUUCCUUUUUAACUCUAAAUUCAGAGAUAGUUUCUUGAUUAGGUUCUUUGUUAUCACUAUCUUUCAUUAUCACCAACUCUGAAUUCAAUUUCAUAAUCGAUUCAUUCUACCCAAUUUGUUUUCUCUUUGCGACAUUCUUUCCUUCUCCGUCAUUCAUCAUAACGCAACACGACGCAACACGUUCGUGUAACUCACUCCACUCGCUCCGUAACUCGUUCUCGAUUUUUUCAUCAUGCCGAAGGAUAAACUUGAUAACAGGGAACCACAAUGGGCUAGUGUGAACUUAGGAAUUUUCAUUUGCAUGCAAUGUUCAGGGAUUCCCCGGAGUCUUGGAGUGCAUAUAUCAAAGGUGAGGUCCACAACUUUGGAUACAUGGUUUCCAGAACAAGUUUCUUUCAUGCAAUGUAAGAAACUAUAUAUGGAAUCUAUUUCUUAAUUACUUUCUUUGUGAAAUGUACUAUUGAGCAAAUUAUGAGAUACAAUGAGCAACUCUUGCUUUCUCUCUUAUAGGACAUUACGUAAUAUUGAUUUGAUUAGCUCUUUCUUUACUCAUGGGAGAUAUCCCUGUUGCCAAACAUCGGCUAUAGCAAUACAGUGUAGCAGAAUGUUAACAAACUACUAUUGCUCCACGAUACACGAUUCAGCACAAAGUGUUUUCAAGUAAUGGCUAUAGCUGCAUUAUAAGCCUAUAACACUAGCAUAGCGAAAUUUUAACGAACCGCUGUUUUUUGCAAUUGACUGUGCUAGAAGAUAUGAUAAUUGUUACAAAUGUUGUUUGGCUCUUGCAAGUGUAACUUAUAUGGUGUGGUUUAUGCAAAUACGGAUAAUGUGAAGUCAAAUAAGCCCUGGGAAGCUAAACUGCCACCAAAUUUUGACAGAAAUGGAUGUGGAAUCCAGAAGUUUAUCCGUGCCAAAUAUGUGGAGAAACGAUGGGCUUUACAAGGUGAACUACAAGCUACAAAGUCAGCUGAAAUAAAGUUGAACUUGAACUUCAAAAUUUCACCACCUACUGGGGCCAAGAAUGGUAUUCAAAAAUCUAGGAGAUUGUCUCUUGAGGAAAGCAUUCUUGUGAAUCACAUGCCACAAAUUCGGCCUCCAAUACCAAAAUUUAAUGAGGGUCCCUUAGAUUUAAAAAUGAAGAAUUCACCACCAAUAAAGAGGCCAUCAGCAUCACUUGAUUUUGAUAAACCCAUUGGAAAUAGCAACGGUACCGUCGAUCUUUUUAACUUGCUUUCCUUCGACGAAGAUAAAAAGAAUAUAUCAACUACACCUUCUAGCUGGACAAUAUUUGAUUGAGAAGGUGUGCAAAUUGUUUAUAGAUUUGCUGAGCUAGCUUUUUGGAUAGAUGUCACAAGAUUAUGGUUAAAUCCGUUCGUGCAAUGUUGCACGAACAUCAAGCUGUGUUGGUCUGGUAAAUUUGGAUGAUGGUUGUGUGCCAUGGUGCCUUUGAUGCAAAAUUGAGUGCAGGUCACUCGAUGUCCCUAAAUUGAGUUUAUGUCCGUCGAUGUCCUGAAAACUGAUGGUCUGAAUGUAAUUUCAAUGUAAAUGCUUCAUAACUUCAAAUGCAGAACCUGAACUGCUUCGGGUCUGAUGCGGCUGAUGAUUUGCAGAAUGCUACAAUGGCUGAGCCUGGUACUGCGCAGUCUUAUUUGUCUUCUGUUAAUUUUAAAAUCGACUCCUGGGUGAUUCAAAUGUAAUAUUGAUGCAUCAUUUGUGUCACAUUUAAAUAAAGUUGGGUUUGGAAUAUGUAUCUGUGACAAACGUGGUCAAUUUGUGAUUUCAAAGAGAGAAUGGAUUGCCCUUCUUUGUGGAGUGGAUGUGGGCGUACCUCUUGGUGAGUAUAUGUUCCCUAAUUAAUGGUAUGUCCCUCGAUGUCUCUAAACUGGGUUUAUACCCUCGAUGUUCCUAUAUUGAAUUAAUGUACUGGAUGACCCUAAAUUGAACUUAUGUCCCUCGAUGUCCCUAAAUUGAACUUAU